CUCAAAUCUAUUGUAAACUAGGGAACCAUCUACAGAUCAUUGCAUAUUAUAUAGUUUAUAUUUACUUUACUAGUGACUAUAUAGUUUAUCCACCUCCCCCCAGCUCUCCCACAUCACUUACAUUUUUAUUAUCAGUGAUUUUAUAUGUGAAAUGGUAGACUUCUUUCUAAUUUAUUUUAUAAUAAAUGGUAACAAAUGUUCUGCCUAUAUACCAUCAGCAGCUCUAUGAUCCCUGCUACGGAAUGAGUGACAUUCCUCCUUAGAAUAGGAUCUUUGAGGACCUUUAUUGUAUUAUCAAUCCUCCCAACAGUCUAAAUUUUGUCAGGAGAGCCAUUUUUUGUUGGUCCUGUCCUGCUGUUCCGAUUUAGUCCCGUCACAAGAUCUGCUCGCACUAUAUUCAGGGAGCACUGAAUUGGUGCUCUCUGCAGGGCCUGCCCUCAGGGGAAUGGCUAAAAUGAUUGUGACACAGAAUGUAUUCACACCAGGCUGACCUGGCAGUAAUGUGGGUGAGCCUGUCCCCAUGUCUGGGAGGGUCCAUACAUUUUAGGUGAAGCCAACUACGUGAUUGUGUCACUGGCGUACAAAUUCCUGGACUGCCGAAGUUGGAAGGUAUGUAAUAAUGCUUGAACACAAAACCUUAUUUAGAACCUCCCUUAAUUACAAUUAAAGAAUAUAUGUUCAAAAUGAAUACAUG